rnacentral:rRNA from 1 species
GACGAACGCUGGCGGCGUGCCUAACACAUGCAAGUCGAACGGAAAGGCCUGCUUUCCCUUGUGGAUUGCGGGUACUCGAGUGGCGAACGGGUGAGUAACACGUGAAUGAUCUGCCCCCAACUUGGGUAUAAGCCUGGGAAACUGGGUCUAAUUCCCGAUAGGACUGCAGUGUGGUGCCUUUGGUGGAAAUCGAUUUUCUAGUGGUUGGGGAUGAGAUCGCGGCCUAUCAGCUUGUCGGUGGGGUAAUGGCCUACCAAGGCGGCGACGGGUAGCCGGCCUGAGAGGGUGGACGGCCACAUUGGGACUGAGCUACCGCCCAGACACCUACGGGAGGCAGCAGUGGGGAAGAGUGCACGAUGGGCGGAAGCCUGAAGCAGCGACGCCGCGUGGAGCAUGACGGCCUGCGGGUUGUAAACACCUUUCGGCCGCGAGGAAGCCACCUGGUUGGAAGGGUGAUGACGGUAGUGGUAGAAGAAGCACCGGCUAACUACGUG